rnacentral:rRNA from 1 species
GAUGAACGCUGGCGGCGUGCCUAAUACAUGCAAGUCGAGCGAACAGACGAGGAGCUUGCUCCUCUGACGUUAGCGGCGGACGGGCGAGUAACACGUGGAUAACCUACUUAUAAGACUGGGAUAACUACGGGAAACCGGAGCUAAUACCGCAUAAUAUAUUGAACCGCAUGGAGCAAUAGUGAAAGACGGUUUUGCCGUCACUUAUAGAUGGAUCCGCGCCGCAUUAGCUAGUUGGUAAGGUAACGGCUUACCAAGGCGACGAUGCGUAGCCGACCUGAGAGGGUGAUCAGCCACACUGGAACUGAGACACGGUCCAGACUCCUACGGGAGGCAGCAGUGGGGAAUCUUCGGCAAUGGGCGCAAGCCUGACGGAGCCACGCCGCGUGAGUGAUGAAGGUCUUCGGGUCGUAAAACUCUUUUAUUAGGAAAGAAAAACUGUGUGAUUAACUAUGCACGUCUUGACGGUACCUAAUCAAAAAGCCACGGCUAACUACGUG